AACGAACGCUGGCGGCAUGCCUAACACAUGCAAGUCGAACGAGACCUCCGGGUCUAGUGGCGCACGGGUGCGUAACGCGGGGGAACCUGCCCUUAGGUUCGGAAUAACUCCCCGAAAGGGGUGCUAAUAACGGAUAAUGUCUUCGGACCAAAGAUUUAUCGCCUUUGGAUGGGCCCGCGUUGGAUUAGCUGGUUGGUAGGGUAAAAGCCUACCAAGGCGACGAUCCAUAGCUGGUCUGAGAGGAUGAUCAGCCACACUGGGACUGAGACACGGCCCAGACUCCUACGCGAGGCAGCAGUGGGGAAUACAGGACAAUGGGCGAAAGCCUGAUCCAGCAAUGCCGCGUGAGUGAUGAAGGCCUUAGUGUUGUAAAGCUCUUUUACCCGGGAUGAUAAUGACAGUACCGGGAGAAUAAGCUCCGGCUAACUCCGUG
rnacentral:rRNA from 1 species